rnacentral:rRNA from 1 species
UACGUAGGGUGCGAGCGUUGUCCGGAAUUAUUGGGCGUAAAGAGCUUGUAGGCGGUUUGUCGCGUCUGCCGUGAAAGCCCAGGGCUUAACCCUGGGUCUGCGGUGGGUACGGGCAGACUAGAGUGUGGUGGGGGAGACUGGAAUUCCUGGUGUAGCGGUGAAAUGCGCAGAUAUCAGGAGGAACACCGAUGGCGAAGGCAGGUCUCUGGGCCACUACUGACGCUGAGGAGCGAAAGCAUGGGGAGCGAACAGG